GUCUCUUUUAUUUCAUUUUCAUACUUAUAUAUUGUGAUAAUUAACAGUGAGGACACGCACGACGAGCGACUUCGUAGCCGACUUAAUGAUAGCUUUGCAUGUGAUUAAAGAACGAAAAAGCAACAGAAUUGUCCUCUGAUGGCUACAUGAAAUGCAGAUAUCACGUACCCUCUAUAGCCUCCUAGGCUAUAAAAGGGAUGAAAAAUAUCUGAAGAGGAUGGGAGAGGAUGGAAGAUAGUUCAGAAAUGAGGAUGAUACAGAAACAAGGAGUGUAGAAAAGGAGUAGAGAUGAAUGCUAAGAGACAUUUUCUACACUAAUAUUAUAAAGAGGAAAUCUUUGUUUGUUUGUUUGAUUGUAAUGAAUAGGCUCAUAAACUA